ACUCAUCCUUCCACCCCUCAGUUCCUCCUCUUUGAGGAAAGGACCUCCCCGCUCUCUGCUGUGUCUGUGACUGGCCUGAGACCCGCCUGGGGCAGGAGGGGUGGUUGUGGAGGGAAAGAGCCCAGAGUUAGGAGGUGGAAUGUGGGGUCCCACAGCUGCCCCCUCUCUUAACUCCCUGCUUCCUCCUUUGCCCUCCUUGGUCCAGCUGUGCCAGGAUGGGGGUGGGGGUAGCAGUGGGCACGCUCUGUCUGCAGGAAGCCACGCUAGACAGAAGGGGCCACUCCCUCUCUCUCUCCCUUGUCCCCGCACAGACACUGCCUUCCUCUCAGGGCUGUGCUGGGCUUUUUGCUGAGCAGUGUUGGGUGAGGCAGGUGGGCCUGCAGGGGGGGUGGGAAGGGCUGUCAGAUGACCAGUGCUGUGUGUGUGGUUGGGGCCCCUGCUGCGAACACAUCCCUGCCCACCAUGCUGGCAACUGGGAUCCCCUCCAUCCCAUCCCAGGCCCUGGGAACCCAGUGUUCUCCAGCAGGCGAGGGUGAAGGACCCACAGUCAUUCCUAAAGAGCAGGGAGCUUGGAGAGGGGAGGGAUCCUGGCUGAAGACACCUGGGCCUCUGCCCCAGCAGGACAACAGGAGGGCCAGUGUCACCUUCUCCUCCUUUCCCUGCUGGGGGUGGCAGGGGUCCCUUUACCCCUCAUUCUUGACCCAUCUCCAGGGAUGUUUGUGACCUCCUUACCCCACCCCCCAUCACCUCUCUGUCCUGAAGUGAGGGUUUGUCACCGUCCAUGGCAAGGUGUGGUGUCUGGCAGGCUCUAUGACCUGCCCUCUCUCAGGGUGUUUAUUCUGCAGCAGAGAGGGGUCUGCGGUCUGAGUGUAAUGGUGGAAAUCCAAGCUUCCUUCCAUGGCCCAAGGAGGCCUUUCCGGAGCAACAGGGUUUUCCUGGGACUCGGCCUGGCUUUUGUUAAGGCAGGUCCCAGAUUUACUCAGAAGAUGGGCCCCAGAGAGGAGGAGAGGAAAGGAAUACCUGUCAGUCAAAUGUGAAGCCCACUGAUGACACUGCCUGGCAGAGCUGCCUCCGGUCAGCAGUGACCCUUCACCCCCCAGCUCCCAAGUCCUCUUCCUGAGGGAGCUGGUCCGGCUUUAUGGAAGGCUCCGCCUGUGUUCCCCACCCUGGGUCCCUGGUCCCUCACCUGUCACGUGGGGCGAUGGUCACCUUCCCUCCCUGCCUGCCCUGCAGGAUGCACUGAGAUGAAGGUCAGGAAAUCUGCUGGCUGCAGAGCCAGGGGCCAUGCAGGAGUGAGGGAUGGUCUGGUCAAGUUGAGGCUCUGCCCCAGCCUCAGUUUCCCCACACAGGCAUGAGACUGUCUUCCUGACUCUCAGAGGACAGGGCUGAGAUGGGAUGAGGGAACACAGGGAAAGCGUUUAGCACCUCUGAGUGCUGUGUGGAUGCGACCUGGGGGGUCCUGGCCAUCCACUCUUUAAUUCUAUCUGGACUGUGCGCCCUCCUACCUCCAGUUUCCUUGCGGGGGCCUUUCACAGGGCCUGGCUUGCUGAUACGGGGUUUGGCUUAGGGCAGUGCUUCUCAAAUGGGAAGGCGCACUGGGAUUCUUCAGGUUGGGGUGGGGCCUGAGGUUCUGCAUUUCUAAUCAGUUGCCUAGGACUGGCUCUAAUUCUUGUUGAAUUUAGAAUCACUUGUGGAGUUAAGAAAAACACAGUGGGCCUUGGUUGGGUGUGGUGGCUCACACCUGUAAUCCCAGCACUUUGGGAGGCCAAGGUGGGCGGAUCAUGAGGUCGAGAGAUUGAGACCAUCCUGGCCAACAUGGUGAAACCUUGUCUCUACUAAAAAAAAAAAAAAAAAAAAAAAAAAAAAUUAGCUGGGCAUGGUGGCAGGCGCCUGUAAUCCCAGCUACUUGGGAGGCUGAGGCAGGAGAAUCGCUUGAACCCGGGAGGCAGAGGUUGCAGUGAGCUGAGAUCGCACCAUUGCACUCCAGCCUGGGCAAAAAGAGCGAAACUCUGUCUCAAAAAAAAAAAAAGAAAGAAAAAAGGAAAAACAUACUGAGCCAGGCGUGGUGACUCAUUCCUGUAAUCCCAGCACUUUGGGAGGCCGAGGCAGGCAGAUCACCUGAGGGCAGGAGUUCGAGACCAGUCUGGCCAACAUGGUGAAACCCCAUGUCUACUAAAAAUACAAAAAUUAACUGGGCAUGGUGGCACGCACCUGUAAUCCCAGCUACGUGGGAUUGGUAGGAGAAUCACUUGAACUCAAGAGGCAGAGGUUGCAGUGAGCCGAGAUCGCACCACUGCACUGCAGCCUGGGUGACAGAGUAAGACUCUGUCUCAUAAAAACAAACAACAACAAGAACAACAACAACAAAAAACAUACUGGAGCCUAGAUCCCACCCCAGACUGGUUGAUUCUGAAUUUCUGAGGCUGAGGUACAAGCAUAAAGUUCCCUGGGAGGUCUUCACAGAGUCUCUGGAUCCCUGAGGCUGUGAAUGACCCCCUUCCAGAGCCAAAAUCACCAGGGAUGGAGGAGGGGUCUUGGGUACUGGACCCACCAGCCAGGCAGGUUAUACUGGGGUAUCCGGAGAGCUUUGGGGUGUGGCAGGGGAGGGCCUAUGCACUGGGAAGGUGGAGGGCCGAGGGGCACAGGUUAGUGGUCGAGGGCAGCGUAGUGACAGACAGAAGCUACCCUGCGGGUCUUCAGCCGAGUGUGAGUGCGCUGGGGUGGCUGUGGGAGCUCCCCUGAGCGUUUUCUAGGCCACCUCCACCUUUGGAUAAGGCUGUGUCAUCCUCAGUCUCGGAUGUAGUGGAAAGUGAUUUGAAGUCAAGAAAUCCUGCCACUAGUACCCAAGGGGCCUUAGGCAGAUCAUGCUAUUAACCUCUCAGGACUCGGGUUUUGCAUAUGUACAAUGUUGAUAAUCUUAUGCACCCUUGAUAUCCCCAAGUGAUGAGAGAAUUAAAUAAGAAUACACACACACAUCUCCCCUACCUAGCAUAGUGACUGCUCAAUAAAUGUGAGUCAGAGGAAAUCAUUUAGCUAUUAGGCCAGCACUGGGAGGUGUGGAGGAUGCUCACCUCAGGUCAAGUGCACAAGUAUUAACCGAGCAGCCACCACUGCCUCACAGUCAGGAGUUUAUCAUUUGCCUUUUGAAUCCUAAUGUCAGAACAGGUGGCAUUCCUGCUUGGGAUGACAAGCUCCUCUGUCAUGGGUGGGCCGCCUCUGCCAUGCCCCUUAACAGCGAAGGCGACACUCUAGGGCCUCCCCAGGUGCCGGCUCAGCUGUGAGGGCUCCUGUCGUUGGACUUCAUCCUCCCAACAACCCUCUGAGUAGAUGCUAUUAUUCUCAUUUUAGGGAGGAAACUGAGGCACAAAGCGAUUCAGUGACAGGCCUGAGCUCACCCAGCGAAUGAUGACAGGGUGUGGACUGGGACCUGUGGUUGGUCCCAGCCCAGCCUCUGACCACUCUGCUCUAUUGCCCCUAGGCUGCAAGCGCAGCUGCAGGUGGGCCUGCUCCUGCCUCCUCUCCUUGCCUGGGCCUUUGGGCCUACUCCGCCUUCCCCUGGAGCGCUGUCUUCCCUCUGCCUGCUGGCGGUCUAGGCACUGCUGCAGCCCCACUGAGAGGUCCUCUUCCAGGACACACCUUGGGCACCUUGGUUGGAAUUCUUUACCCUAUGACUUUCCCUCAGAGGAGGAGACACCUUCCGAUGUGCUCUGCCUCCUUACUGAAUAGCGUGGAGGACAGGCCAGUCUCCAGUUCCUAUUGGGAGCCCCUGAGGCCAUGCUCAGCCUCGGCUCACCUUCCCUGAGCCGAGUUGCUGUCAGAGUUCCAAGGAGGAAAAGACCAGGGAGGCUGGAGCGGGCAGGAGUGGCUUCCUGGAGGCAGAGGGUCUGAGCUCUGGGGGAGGAGGAUGGCAUUCCAUGGCCUGUCCCAACAGGGGCUCUUGCCCCUCCCUGUUUCUGGUGCAAGCAGAGGGUCUCGGACCCAGGCCAGCAAGGCAGCUCCCGGGGUUGGAAUCUUCCUUCGCUCCCAACUCCAUCCUUUCUGGAAACCAGGAAGCUGGGGCCAGUGUCCAGCACUGCCUCUGGCAGCCUGGCCUCUGCUCUCUUCUGAGAAGCCUUCAGAGAAGUUGACUGCCCAUUCCUGCCAUCUGUACCCAGCUGCUGGAACGCCCUUCCUGGCGUCUGCCCUGAGCCUCUCCAGCUGCUGGGAACUUCUGUGAAUGUGUCCUCUGUGCAGGGCACUGGGCCAGGAGCUGGGACUGGGAGGUGAGAGAGACCAGACCUUGGCUUUGAGGAGCUGAGGGUUUGAUGGGAGAGACCGAUGUAGAAACCUGGAACCUGGCACAGCCAAACAGGCAGCUGGAGCUGGGCCUCUGGACCCCAAGAGCUGGGGUCAAGACCCAAUGGCUGUGGAGGCCCUGUGUUGCCUUGGCAACCUUCUUCCCUCUCUGGGCCUCAGUUUCCCCAUCUGUAAAAUGUAAAAUCAGCAGGCUAGCUGAUCUCUGAGAGUGUUUCCAUAUUUGAUAACCCAUGAAUUGUAUUUCAAAACAAGAGGCCCGUGCCUGAUCCAGUGUUUGCAAGGUGAUGCCUCAGACCCUUGGUGUUCCUCAGGACACUGACAGGCAUCUCUUGAAAGACAUUUGGGAAACACUGCUUUCUGCUUCCUCUUUUUAGAGAUGUAAGGGCGGGACGUGGUGGUUCACGCCUGUAAUCCCAGUACUUUGGGAGGCCAAGGUGGGAGGAUUGCUUGAGUCCAGGAGCUGGAGACCAGCCUGGACAACAUAGUGAGACCCCCGUUUCCAUUGUUAUUAUUAUUAUUAUUACUAUUAUUAUUUGAGACUGACUCUGUUGCCCAGGCUGGAGUGCAGUGGCGAGAUCUGGGCUCACUGCCACCUCCACUUCCUGUGCCCAAGCAAUUCUCCUCCCUCAGCCUCCUGAGUAGGUGGGACACUACCGGCGCAUGCCACCAUGCCCAGCUAAUUUUUUGUAUUUUUAGUAGAGACGGGGUUUCACUGUGUUGGCCAGGCUGGUCUUGAACUCCUGACCUCAGGUGAUUUGCCUGCCUCAGCCUCCCAAAGUGCUGGGAUUACAGGUGUGAGCCACUGGGCCUGGCCACCAUUAUUUAAAAAAAAAUUUUUUUUAACUGUUUAAGUAAAAGAGAUGCAUUGCCUCUAAGCAUGCUAAAAGUUCUAAAUUCUGCAGUUAAAAACUGCUCUUUAAAAUAUUUAAUAUGAAUCUUCAAUUUAUUAUUCUAUUAUUUUUACCACCUAUUAACAUCUUGUAGAGUUUUUGAUGGAAACCAGUUUCACCCUGUUCUGGAGAGGACAUAGUUGCCUGAGGUGGACGUGGAGGCACCAUGGCCCCUGAGUGAGAUGUGCAUGUUCCUUACUUUGGGGUCACCCUGCCUUGGUUUCCAACUCCGUUCAGACCUGUUUGACGUGAACCAGGUGACUACUCAGUGUCAGGCCAGGGAAGCAGCUGAAUAGAAUAUGGCACUGACCCCCAGUUCCCUGUGUUCCCAUGCCUUCAGAGUUCUCAUUGUCCUGCAUUGUCCCUGCUGGGGUGUGGACUUGAGGGCUGGGUCCUUCCCGCCUCCUCCGUGGUGCCUGUUACAUAGGAGUGACGUCAGCAGAGGAAGGGCUUGCAUGGAAGAGAAUGUGUGCAGGCAGCAUGUGGGGAAGGAAUGAGCAUGCGCUCCUGAGUUAGACAGUCCAGGUUUAAAAAAACAUUGUUAGAGAUGGUGUCUCAAACUCUUGGGCUCAAGUGAUCCUUCCACCUCACCCUCCUGAGUAGCUGAGACUAGAGGUGUGUGCCACCAUGCCUGGCUCUAGCUCCAGGUUUGAAUCCUGACACCUCCAUUUAUUAGCUGUGUGUCCUUGGCAAAUGAAUUAAGGUCUCUGAGUCUCAGCUUCCUUCCAGGUUGUGGUGAGGAUUAAAGCAGAUAAUAUAUGUAAACACUUAAGACAGGGUCUGGCACAUGACGGAACCCAGUAAAUGGUAGCUAUUGUUACCAGCAGCUUGGGGAUCUGCCGCCAAGGUGGCUGUUGGUUGACCUUGGGUUUAGAGUAGUCAUUGCUUCUUUUUUUUUUUUUUCUAGACAGAGUCUCACUCUUUCACUCUGUUGCCUAGGCUUGAGUGCAGUGGUGUGGUCUUGGCUCACUGCAACAUUUGGCUCCCAGGUUCAAGCAAUUCUCCUGCCUCAGCCUCCCGAGUAGCUGGGAUUACAAGUGCACAUCGCCAUGCUUUGCUAAUUUUUAUACUUUCAGUAGAGACGGAUGGGGUUUCACCAUGUUGCCCAGGCUGGUCUCAAACUCCAGACCUCAGGUGAUUCGCCCGCCUCGGCCUCCCAAAGUGCUGGGAUUACAGGUGUGAGCCACCGUGCCCGCCCCCCGGCUAAUUUUUAUAUUAGUUAUUGCUUCUUAUCCUGUCAAAAUGCUGUCAUCAGAUGUUCCCUGUCUGCUCCCAGUCACCACAGAGGCUGCAGAGCCAGGGCCGAUGGCCAUCCAUGGAACCAAAGCAGAAGGGGAAGCAAGUGACUGAGCUCACAUGACUGUUUAGUCAUGGAACUGGACAUGUCUGCUGUGACAUUUUGUUCCCAGGGUUCCUGGGGACCUACCCUAGGCAAGCUCCUGCUGUCUGUGGGGUAAAUAAAGAGGGGUGAGUGUGCCCCUUGUCUUAAGGGAGCUUGUUCAUUCAUACAUGUCUAGACACUAGGCAACAUGGUGCAGACAUGCAUGAGGAUUAAGAGAGUGGGGAAGGUGGAGGGAAGGAAGAGAGGGAGCAGAGGGGACCUUUAUGAGAUGGGUCCAUUGGUGUUGUCCCUGGAGCGGAAAAGAGCUGUCUGUAAAUAUGGUCUGAGCAGGGUGGGCUGCACAUGGCUCAUGAGACCUUUGUCCUUUCACCACUGGCAGGCAGCUGGCAGCUUGGGGGAAGGGGCUUGUCAAGGUUGCCCAGCUUAGGAACUGACAACGGGACCAAGUCUUUUCAUUCCGGAUUCCUUGUCAUUUUCCUCUGUGAUCCAGGCCAUUGCCCCAGACCAGGGCUGGGCAGGAAGGGAGCUCAGCCCACCCAUCUUCCUGCUCUCACCCGGUUUACUGCUGUCCCUUAAAGGUAAAAAUGGGGUGAUCCAGUCAGAAUUUAGUGUUUGUCUGAGCUUGAAGGAUCCUCCUCGCCGACAUAAGGUUUCCUUAUUCUUCGCUGAUGUCACUUGUUAAUGAAAAUGGGAGCCGAGUGAUGAUGAGCUGAGCUGGGGAUCCAGAGACCAGAGUUCAAGGCUGGCCCUUGCCCCAUUUACCAGUGAGAUUGGGAUAAGCUAAGUAACCUUCCCAUGCCUCAAUCUCCUGUCUGUAAAAUGAGAAUCACGAUACCUGCCAUGUCACAAGGAUAAAAAGGGCCGGGCACAGUGGCUCACGACUGUAAUCCCAGCACUUUGGGAGGCCGAGGCAGGUGGAUCACGAGGUCAGGAGAUCAAGACCAUCCUGGCUAACACGGUGAAACCCCGUCUCUAUUAAAAAUACAAAAAAUUAGCUGGGCAUGGUGGCGGGCGCCUGUAGUCCCAGCUACUCAGGAGGCUGAGGCAGGAGAAUGGCGUGAACCCGGGAGGCGGAGCUUGCAGUGAGCCGAGAUCGCGCCACUGCACUCCAGCCUGGGCAACAGAGCAAGACUCCGUCUCAAAAAAAAAAAAAAAAAAAGUAAGGAAUGGCAAGUGCUCAGCCUAGCACCUUUGACAAAAACAAGACCUAGUAGUUGGCUCUUUCAGUCAUUUCAACUGCCAGUUAAUGCCCCGCAUUUUCCAGGUGGGAUGGCUUAUGUCUUGGCUAUAAUCAAGCCCAGGAAAACCUCUUCCCUUUCUAGGGUGCAGAGUUGAGCUUACUGAGAUCACAACAGGGAACCCAGGCACAGCCCUGGGGUGUGUUCACAUGUCAGGGGCUUCGGUUCACACAGGAAGUAUAAUAUCUGCUAGGCUGCCAGGCUGAGGGCCUCACACACACGCACCCCAGCUCACCUUCAGCUGUGUGUGCUUCACUGUGAGCAGGUGUUAUUUUGUUUUGUGUUGUUUUUGAGACAGGGUCUCACUCUGUGGCCCAGGAUGGAGUGCAGGGGUGCCAUCACGGCUCACUGCAGCUUCUACUUCCCGGGCUUAAUCGAUCCCCCACCUCAGCCUUCCAAGUAGCUGGUACCACAGGCACCAGCCACCACGCCUGGCUAUUAUUUAUUUAUUUAUUUAUUUAUUUAUUUUUGAGACGGAGUCUCUCUCUGUCGCCCAGGCUGGAGUGCAGUGGAGUGAUCUCGGCUCACUGCAAGCUCUGCUCCCCGGGUUCAUGCCAUUCUCCUGUCUCAGCCUCCUGAGUAGCUGGGGCUACAGGUGCCCGCCACCAUGCCUGGCUAAUUUUUUAUAUUUUUAAUAGAGACGGGGUUUCACCAUGGUCUCGAGCUCCUGACCUCGUGAUCCGCCCACCUUGGCCUCCCAAGGUGCUGGGAUUACAGGCGUGAGCCACCGCACCCGGCCAAUUUUUGUAUUUUUUUGUAGAGACAGGGUUUUACGAUGUUACCCAAGCUGGUCUCAUUGAACUCCUGAGCUCAAGCUAUCCUCCCGCCUUGGCCUCCCAAAGUGCUGGGAUUAUAGGUGUGCGCCACCUGCACAGGUGUUUUAUAUUUACCUCACCUCUCUACCAGGUGGCAAAUUGAGAAAUCAGGGAGUUUAGGGCUUAGAACCCAGAGUUGAAAUCACAGUGACUGCUUUGGCAGGUGCAAUGGGAGGAGCUGCUCCCGACUCUGCCAAGGUCCCAGCUCCUGCUGUGUGAUCUUGGGGAAGCCAGCCACCCUCUCUGGCACAUUCUCCAUCAGUGCAUUGAGGGAGCUGGCCUCUGACAUCUAUCAGAUUUGCUAUCAGGGGCUUUAGGGCUCUACUGAGACAGGCCCACAUUUGCUUUUGUCUCCCACCUUUUGUCCCCCAAGUGCUCGGGGUUGGACAUGUGAGCACACAGCAGAUGCUCAAUAAGUGCUUGCUGAACCUCAGUGAUCAGAGAGAUAGCUUGGCAGGUCUGUCUCCUGGGUCUGUCAUUCCCUUAGUGCUGCGUGGGGAGUCCCCUCACAUCCUUCCCUGCUGGGGGACCUCCUCCUGGGGGAUCACCUAAAGCUCUUGUCUACAGAGACGCCUCUCUCGACCCUCCAGUACCAGCUGUUUUCUCUGACAGCACCCUGGACUUUUCCUUUAUAGCACUCAUUGCAAUUUAUGAUCACAUAUUUAUUGGCGGAUUAGUUGUUCAUUGUCUGUCUUCCCCACAAGGAUGUCUACUUCAUGAGGGCAGCUUCGUAAGUCCUCAGUGAUCAACUGAGUGCCUGAAUGAAUGAAUGAGUGGUGAGGACAGAAUGGGGGGUAAAAAGCUGGGAGAGGCAGGUACAGUGGCUCACACCUGUAGUCCCAGCACUUUAUGAGGCUAAGGCUGGUGGAUCGCUUGAGCCCAGGAGUUGAAGACCACCCUGGGCAACUCCCUUUCUACCUUGUUAUCAUGGCGAAACCCCAUCUCUACUAAAAAUUAAAAAAAAAAAAAUCAGCUGGGUGUGGUGGUGUGUGCCUGUAGUCCCAGCUACUCGGGAAGCUGAGUGAGAGAAUCACCUGAGCCUGGGAAGUUGAGUCUGAGAAGUGAGUCAUGAUCGUGGCACUGCACUCUAUCCUGGGCAACAGGAGACCCUGUCUCAAAAAAAAAAAAGAGCGAGGAGGAGGCUGAGGGUUAGAUGAGGCUGUCCAGGGCCUCUCACUGAUGGAGGUGGUCGUGACUCCUAGUCCAGUGCUCUUCCUUCUUCUGGAGCAGGGACACCCUGGGGGACCAGGCUGGGUUUAAUGGGCAGCCAAGCCCCUGAGGACCUAGGGAAGAGGAGGAGGGGAUGGGGGAUCUGAGCCAACUCCACCCCUUCCCCCAGCAGGCAGGAAGGACAGGGCAGAUCUGUCAGCUUCAGAUACCACUGCCCCAGGGGACCCAGCCCUGAACCCAGGGAGGCAGGGAAAGAGGGGGGGACAGGAAGCACCCGGGUCUUCCCCUCCUCCCUUUUGCCCCACCCUCCGCCCCCAUCUCUGGCGAGAGAGCUCACAGCCCCAGGCCUUGGCACUAGGGGGACAAGGGCGGGGCAGUGGGGGACAGAAAUCCAGUUCUGGGCAAAUCCCUUCCUCUCCUUCAUUUGGUUUCUGGCCUCAAAUUGGGGACUGCCCUGGCAGCCCCUGGAGAGCUUGGCUGGGGCCUUGAGGCAGGAGGGAUGGAGCGAGAGGGAGAGGGCACUGCCCACUUACACCCUUCCUGUGUGCCCAGCCCUGUGCAGACCUAGCUGCAGUGUCACUCAACAGGAGGAAGAGCCCUGGGCGGGACCUGGGAGGCCUCACUGAAAGGCUGGGCUCUGUCAAUAAUUGCUGUGUGACCUUGGGUGGGGCACAGCCCCUCUCUGGCCACUGUCAUUCUCCUCAUCUGCCAAUGUGGUCCAAACCUGGGGCCAAAGAACACAAGCCCUUGAGGAGUUUUAAAAGACUAAUUUCCCAGGCCCCAUUCUGAGUGGUAGAUUUGGGUGGGACAUCUGUAUGUUUAAAUCUCCGCUGCGAUUACAACGCACCUGGUGGAGGCACUACUGCCAUAGAUGGUCUAAGGGCCUCUCCCCAGCCUUGAAACUCCCACCCCUAGGGCAGGCCACCCCACUCCUGUGUCCUACUCGGGAAGGCAAGGGCCGCAGUGGCUGGCUGCAUCCUCUGGGGUGCCAGCUGGGACACAGGUGGCAGGCCGUAGGGAGUGGGGUGCUGCCUGGGGAGGGUGUGUGCUGUGGACCUGCCAGGAACAAACACAGAGGGGCCUGGGAGGGCCCUGAGCUUCCCAGCCGGAGUCUCCCCUCCAUCCCCUCCUCUGAAGGCCUCUUCCCCCUGACCUUUCUCCCUUCUUUUCCACUUCGGCCUCCACCUUGUUUCUUUCUCUGUCCAUUGCUCCCUCCUUCUCCUCUUUCUGUCCCCAGCCUCCUCUCUCUGGGAAGCUUUUUAAUUUUGACCCCACAUCCCACAGUUGGUUGCUCCUGCCUCUUGGUGUCCUUCCUGUCCUGGCCCUCCUGCCCUGGCUCCCUGUCUCUCUCCAGUCCUGUCUCUGUCUCUCCCUGUUUUUGUCUCCCUGAUGCAUUCUCUCUCUCCCUCCCUCCAUGAAUUUCUCUGUCUCUGUCCUGUGCCACCUCUCAUCUGCCCUGCCUCUGUAAAUGUGGGGAGGACCCUGGGAAAAUGACAGAGAUGGGGAGAGCUGACAAGUUAGAGAAACCAAGGCUUGUGGCAACCCGCAGUCUUCCCCACCUGGCUCCAGCCUACCUUCCCCAGGCCACCCGGCUCUGUCCCCUGCAUGCCCUGGGUCACCCUGCCCCUCCCUCGUGCCUGCGCCCAGCUCCGCAUCUCCCUCUUCCCAUUUCCAGCUUCCCUGACACUGCCCCAGGGCCCUUUCUCUGGCUGUCCCAGGGACCUCACCUCCUGUGAGCCCACAGCUCACUGUCUGUUGAGGGGGGACAGGCAGGAGGUAAGGAUGCGUCCGAGCCUCCCUGGGACACGACCCUCACAGAGUCAUGGACUGCAGGAUUUGUACCAUCUCCUGGCGCGAGAGCCAGGGUUGCCCAGAUUGAUGGAAGAGCAGGUGUUUGUGUCCCCUUCUGGUGAGAGCUUUCCAGCGCCCAGAGAGCCAAGACGGCUUGUGGAAUUGGGGAAGAGUCAGGGAGGGGGUGGGAAGUGGGAGUGGAGGGGUAUGUUCUUCCCCUCCCGGGGCCUCAGUUUCUCCUCACAAGCUCUUCUCUCUCUCUCAUUGUCUAAGCCUUUCCUUCCCGCCUCUGGUGCGAUUGGGGGUGGGGCAGGGGCAGCGAAUGAGGGGAUGUUGGGCUUUUACUCAACAGAGCAAUUUAUCCUGUGAUCAAAAGAGGCCAUGGCCGCCUCAUCUCUCCUCAGAGACCUGCCCUGACAGGUGGUGUCCUGCCUCCAGUCCGUGUUAACCCCCUCAAGGCCAGGGCCGGGCCGAGGGUCUGAGCCUUCCACCUGCCCCUUGAAGGGGCCUCCCUGGGGUCCAGAGACAUCAGGCUGGCCCUGGGGAGGCUGUGGACCCUGGGCCUCACACUUACAUCUGGACAGGCCUUCUGACUUCCAGGGCCUGGUGAGAACCUCAGGUGAAGAGUUGCUGUCAGGCUCCCUGGGCAGGUUGGGGUGGUCCUGCUGUCCCACCCUGGGGACUUUAUUCCAGGGGCUGUGGGCUGGAAGGAGCCCCUGUUCCUUCCAGACUCCCUCUCUGCACGCUCCCUACUGCUGGCCUUGUGGUCCUGUGCAGAGGACCGGCCAGGAGAAGGGUUAAGUCAGGGACUCUUGGGAUGGCUUUGGCCACGGCCAUUCCUCUGAGAGAAGAGAACAAGGGGCCCAUUCUGUGUGUGGGAAUUAAUAGCAAAGAGUCAUCUGGGGUGUCACUCAAGCACUGAUCGACUCCCAGAGGAAUGUGAGAGGGAGAGAGAGAGGGAGAGGAGAGGAGAGGAGAGGAGAGGUGUGGUGGGGGCUGAGACGGAGAUGUCAAAGGCAGGGCAUUAGGGUCUGGCUGGUACAAGAGCCCGCCCUGGUAGGAGGACCCGCCGCCCCAAGAUGGGUCCUGCUUUUCACCACAGAUGCACCCCCAUCCCUACACAGGAUGAAGACCCCCUCCUGUCAUUCCCUCACCCAGGGCCUCCCCCUUCUGUCUUCCCUCAUUCCCAGACGGCCGUACCCUCUACCCCGAGGUGGGCCUGUUGGGCAGCUGGCCCUGAGUUCCUGGGCUCUCCCAGUCUGCCCCCAUCUUUGCUGAGAGAUCCAGGUGCUCCUUGUGGGAAAUGCCCUGGGGAUGGUGCUGUGGAGUGCCAGCCUGGGGUCCUGAGUUGUACCCUCUGUCCCAGGAUCCAGGAGCCCCACUUGCCUGGCUCCAGGCCCAGUUCAGACACAUUCCUACCGGGUGGCUGCCGGCACCUUUGGCUGCCUGCGUGUGGGGAUGCUGGAGCUUGUCAGCCAUCACAGGGGGCUCAGCCUUCCUCAUCUGCUCAGGCCCCUGUGGCAGCCUCAGCCUGGCCUGUGGGUGAGGACCAGCAGGCCUCCUGACAUCUGAAUGUCACACCCUAAGGAAGGCCUUGAUGAGGCUCCAGGAGGCCUAGGAGGGUGUGGCACUCUCCUGCUCCAGUUGUGGGGCUGAGUCAGAAUCCUCCCAGGUCAUCUGCCCCUGGGUGUCCUGACACCCCUUCCCCUCCCCAGGGCCUCAGGCUGGCCACCGAGCCGAAAUGAGCCUAGACUCUGUGGGAUGCAGAGGCAGUGGGGUGCGGAGGAUGAGGGCUUUGGGGCAGUCAGAGCAGGGUGCCCCACUCCUUGGCCCUGUGACCUGGGCAGAGCUCCUUUGUCUCUCUGAGCCCCGGGGUUUCCUCUUGAAAAUGGGUCAUGUCAUAACUGGCAGGUUCAGAGGUAAGAGAAGGUAACAGGUGUCAAGUGCCCGACACAAUAGCCAACCACUGUGUGUUGUUAUUUUUAUUGUGAUGAUGAUUGUUAUUGGAGGGCUGGGCAGCCUCCACUACCCUUGGGCUGGAAGGCACAUUGUGCACACCAUUUGACUGCCUGGAUCUGCACCUGGCAGCCUGUGCCCGCUCGGCGAAUCGCAGGGAUCCCAGCGCUGUUCCUCCUCAGCUGUGGUUUUGGCGAGGGUGAGCUUCUUGGCCCCCAGACCUCCUGUGUGCCAGCGUCAUUUCCAUAUCUGGUGACUCAUCCUGCUGGUCCUGCCGGAACAUGAUGCCUCCCCUGACGGCAUGGUGCAGGCACAGUGUGUGCAGCCACUGGCCUCGGUUCCUCCCCUGGGAGUUGGCCACCUGCGCCCCCAUGGUAGACUCUGGCAUGCUAAAGCCUGAAGGGAGCUUAGCGGUUGUCCAGCCGGACCUUCUUAUUGUACUGACAGGGAGCUGAGGUCUAGAAAAGAGAGGGCCUUUCUGGGGCACUGUGGAGUAAACAGAGUUGGCAGGCUCUUCUACAUUGGGCUAGGAGUCUGGACUCCUGGGUUCUUGCCCAAACUUGGAUGCUAGGGGCCAAGUGGGCUGGGAAAAUUCCUUACUCAUAGCUGGGGUGGGGAGAGGACACAUGGAGAAAGAAGGUGGAGCCUUUUGCAAACUAAAGUGCUUUCCAAAUAUGGGGGGUUAUCAGGAGGGUGGCUUUGGGCCCCUCGAGACGGUGCUGACCCUGUGUUCAUCUGCAGUCUGUGCAGGGCACUAGGGUGGUUGGUGUCACCAGCCCAGGGGCUGCUGGACACAGGCCCCACCCAGAGGAAUAAGCCAACACCAUUGAGGAGGGGCAGCCCAGGGCUUCCUGCCUGGCUUUGGAGGUGUAAGGUGUUUGAAAUAACAUUCUCCAACAUGCUCAAAGUGAAACCAGCUUCCUUUGGGAACAUAUGGAGACCACAGGCACUUCACAGGGGCUGAUGAGAACCCACCAACUCUGCUGUGGGCUCUGUCCCUGCCCUCGGAGCUCAUAGCCUGGUGACCUUGGCAUUCAUUAUUUUCAUUCCAGUUCUCAGCACAGCGCUUGGCACAUAGUAGGAACUCAGGAAGUGUUUAUGGGAUGGAAUGGGGUGAUGAUGUUGAGGCAAGAUGAAGGGUAUGAACGGAGAUGACAUCUGCGUCUUGCCUGGAAGCAGAGGGUAGGAAAAGGAGCAAGUAAGGAGUGGCGGCUGGCAUGGGUGCAGCACCACUGAGAGGAGGGGUUGAGAGAGGUUAGAGAAGGACUGGAGUCAACACUCCUGAGAGCCCUUCUUUGCCCUGUGGCCUCUUACUUGCAAGCUAGUUCCCCUCUCUCAGGCUCAGUUUCCUAAUCUGUAAAGCAGGGAUAAUAUAAUUUAUUCAUGAGUUGUUGCAAGGCUCAAGAACCGUAACACAUGGGCCAUGGCAGGCUCUCGACCGUGCCUGCUGGACACCCAGUGUGUUGUGAACAGAGAUCUUUAGAGAAAACAGAUAAAAAUUACAGAAGUAUCUUAUAGAGACACAGUUGACAGAUACAGAAAUAAUGUGAGUUGCAUCAUAUUAGAUUCAGAGAGAUUAAAGAUAGAUUUUUAGGGGAAUUUAUGAAUUUAUUCAUUUUGGGGACACAGAGAGUGAUGAGCACUGGGAUGGAGACAGUGAACGCCUGAUAUUGGAGGCUCCUGGACUAUAGAGUUGCUUUGUUUGUUUUUUGGAUGGAGUCUCAUUCUGUUGCCCAGGCUGGAGUGCUGUGGUGUAAUGUCGGCUCACUGCAACCUCUGCCUCCCAGGUUCAAGCGAUUCUCCUGCCUCAGCCUCCUGAGUAGCUGGGAUUACAGGCAUGUACCACUAUGCCUGACUAAUUUUUGUAUUUUUAGUAGAGAUGGGGUUUCACCAUGUUGGCCAGGCUGGUCUCCAUCUCCUGACCUCAAGUGAUCUGCCCGCUUAGGCCUCUCCAAGUGCUGGGAUUACAAAUGUGAGCCACCUUGCCUGGCCAAGUGGUUUUUUUUUGGAUGGAGUCUCACUCUGGUGCCCAGACUGGAGUGCAGUGGCAUGAUCUUGGCUCACUGCAACCUCUGCCUCCUGGGCUCAAGCAAUUCUCCCACUUCCGCCUCCUGAGUAGCUGGGAUUACAGGCACCUGCCACCAUGCCUGGCUAAUUUUUGUAUUUUUAAUAGAGACCAGGUUUCGCCAUGUUGGUCAGGCUGGUCCCAAACUCCUGACCUUGGGUGAUCCAUCCACCUCAGCCUCUCAAAGUGCUAGGAUUACAUGCGUGAGCCAGCACACCUGGCCUUUUUUUUUUUUAAUUUAUUUUUUUCCCCAAACUUGGACAAAGCAUAUCACUUAUAGACUUUUUAUUGGGCCACAAAAAUGCUUAAGAACUAAAGAAGAAAACUCCAGCUCCAAAGUAUACAAAAAUAGCAACAGAGAAAUUAUUCAAAAUUUUAAAUGAAAAAUAAAAAAGACCCUUUAAAACUUGUUUAUAGCCAACUAGUUCUAUGUAGCAUGUGACGUAGGUACAUUUCAACAUGCUUGAUGCAAUGUGGGGUCAGUGGGACCCACAAGAGUCUUAUAAAGUGUCCAGGGCACUGCAACCUCCGCCUCCCAGGCUCAAGCAAUUUUCCCACCUCAGCCUCCUGAGUAGCUGGGAUUACAGGCACCUGCCACCAUGCCCGGCUAAUUUUUGUAUUUCUAGUAGAGACUGGGUUUCGCCGUGUUGGCUGGGGCCAUGGGGCUGGGGUUGCUCAGCAAAGUCAGCUGUGUCUGGGGGCAACUGAGAAGGGCUUCCCAGUGGAGGUGAUGUUUGGGUGCAACCUUACAGAGAGAGAAGGGAUUGAAUAGGGGGAAAAAUGGCCUGGUGGUGACUUUUGAGUCUUUUUUUUUUUUUUUUUUGAGACGGAGUCUUGCUCUAUCGCCCAGGCUGGAGUGCAGUGGCGCCAUCUCAGCUCACUGCAAGCUCCGCCUCCUGGGUUCACACCAUUCUCCUGCCUCAGCCUCCCGAGUAGCUGGGACUACAGGCACCUGCCACCAGGCCCGGCUAAUUUUUUAUAUUUUUAGUAGAGACGGGGUUUCACCGUGUUAGCCAGAAUGGUCUCGAUCUCCUGACCUCGUGAUCUGCUCGCCUCGGCCUCUCAAAGUGCUGGGAUUACAGGCGUGACCCACCGCGCCCGGCCAACUUUUGAGUCUUGAGGUAAAGGGAGAUGUGUGAGCAAAGGUUCAGAGAAGGGAAAGCACAUGGAGAAUUAGGGAGAAAGGCGAGAUACUUGGCAUGCAAGAUACUUUGGAAUUAGGAUGUGGAGAACAGGGGAGGGGUUAGGGUAACUCUAGAAAGUUUGGUAGAGGCUUAUGUACCAGGCUUGGACUUUAUCCUAAGGACAGUCAGGAACCAUGAGCGAGACAGAGUCUUGCUCUGUUGCCCAGGCUGGAGUGCAGUGGCAUCAUCUCGGCUCACCACAACCUCCGCCUCCCGGGUUCGAGCAAUUCUCCCGCCUCAGCCUCCUGAGUAGCUGGAAUUACAGGCACGUGUCGCCACACCUGGCUAACUUUUGUAUUUUCAGUAAGGAUGGGGUUUCACCAAGUUGGCCAGGCUGGUCUUGAAUGCCUGACCUCAAGUGAUCCGAGUGAUCCGCCCACCUCGGCCUCCCAAAGUGCUGGGAUUACAGGAGUGAGCCACUGCACCCGGCUGGGAGAUAGUUUAAGAAGGGUGAGGAGAGUGGUGGUGACACAGUCAGCCUAUUUUUUUUUUUUCUUUUUGAGACGGAGUCUCACUCUUGUCACCACUGGAGUGCAGUGGUAUGAUCUUGGCUUACUGCAACCUUUGCAUCUCAGGUUCAAGCGAUUCUCACACCUCAGCCUCCCAAGUAGCUGGGAUUACUGGUGCGCGCCACCAUGCCCAGCUAAGUUUUGUAUUUUUAUUAGAGAUGGGGUUUCACCAUGUUGGCCAGGCUGGUCUCGAACCCCUGACCUCAGGUGAUUCACCUGCCUCAGCCUCCCAAAGUGCUGGGAUUACAGGCGUGAGCCACUGUGCCCAGAACAGUCAGCCUUUUUUCCCCAAGUUCACUCUCAAAGCAUUGUGGCAGCUGCAUGGUUGAUGGGGAAGGGAGGGAGGUGCUGGAGAGUGGAGGCCGGAGACCCACUAGGAGAUUAGGAGACUGUUUUUUUUUUUUAGAUGGGGUGUCACUGUGUUGCCCAGGCUGGAGUGCAGUGGCGUGACGUAGCUCGUUGCAGCCUCAAGCUCCUCAGCUAAAAAAAUCCUCCUGCCUCAGUCCCCAGAGUAGCUUGGACUACAGGCAUGCACCUCUGUGUCUGGCUAAUUUUUAUUCUUUUGUAGAGAUGCGGGGGUCUCACUAUAUUGCUCAGGCUGGUCUAGAACUCCUGGCCUCAAGUGACCCUCCCACCUCCCUGAGCUCCUGAUGGCAUAAGCCACCACACCUGGCCAGAGGCUGGAGUGUUAACACUGGUGAAAAAUGAUGAGAACCUGUAUUAGGAUGGGUCGUAGGGAGGGAAGAAGAGGAGAGAUUUGAGAACAAGUCAGGCAGUGGCUGGAGUGAAGGACGUUGGAAAUAGGUGGUAAUAACACCCUUGCCACUUCCUGAGCGCUCACUGUGGGCCAGGUGCUUUCUACCUAUAAGACAUGCAUAUCUACUCGCUGAGUUCUCAUGACUGCCAGCAUGGAGCAAGAGAUGGCAGGCAGGCCUGAUUUAACUGGAAUCUGCAGAAUCCAUACAUCCCCUGCAGUUAAAAACCACUGGCUAACUUGAUUACCUCGGUAAGAAAAUAAAUAAAUAAAACCCAGUGUCAAAAACCACAUGAUAGGCUGGUCGCAUUGGUUCAUGCCUGUAAUCCUAAUACUUUGGGGGGCCAAGUCGGGCAGAUCACUUGAGGCCAGGAGCUCGACACCAGUCUGGCCAACAUGGUGAAACCCCAUCUCUACUGAAAAUACAAAAUUAGCCUGGUGUUGUGGCGCACACCUGUAAUCCCAGCUACUUGGGAGGCUGAGGCAGGAGAAUCACUUGAACCUGGGAGGUAGAGGUUGCGGUGAGCUGAGAUUGGGCCAUUGCACUCUAGCCUGGGCAAAAAGAGUGAAACUCCGUCUCAAAAAACAAAACAAAACUAUGUGAUGCUUAUUUGUUGUUGGCAAAUUAGAAAAUAUAGAAAAACAAGAAGAAAGGCCGGGAGCCAGUGGUUUUUAACUGCAGGGCAUGUAUGGAUUCUGCAGAUUCCAGUUAAAUGAGGCCUGCCUGCCAUCUCUUGCUCCAUACUGACA